UACGGAGGGAGCUAGCGUUGUUCGGAAUUACUGGGCGUAAAGCGCACGUAGGCGGCUUUGUAAGUUAGAGGUGAAAGCCCGGGGCUCAACUCCAGAAUUGCCUUUAAGACUGCAUCGCUUGAAUCGCGGAGAGGUGAGUGGAAUUUCCGAGUGUAGAGGUGAAAUUCGUAGAUAUUCGGAAGAACACCAGUGGCGAAGGCGGCUCACUGGACGCGUAUUGACGCUGAGGUGCGAAAGCGUGGGGAGCGAACAGG
rnacentral:rRNA from 1 species